GCCGCAUCCUCAGCCACCGUCGCAGCUGCCUCCGCCACCACCGCCGCCUCCUCUUCCUUGGCCACCCCAGAACUGGGCAGCAGCCUCAAGAAGAAGAAGCGGCUCUCCCAGUCAGAUGAGGAUGUCAUUAGGCUAAUAGGACAGCACUUGAAUGGCUUAGGGCUCAACCAGACUGUUGAUCUCCUCAUGCAAGAGUCAGGAUGUCGUUUAGAACAUCCUUCUGCUACCAAAUUCCGAAAUCAUGUCAUGGAAGGAGACUGGGAUAAGGCAGAAAAUGACCUGAAUGAACUAAAGCCUUUAGUGCAUUCUCCUCAUGCUAUUGUGGUAAGAGGCGCACUUGAAAUCUCUCAAACGUUGUUGGGAAUAAUUGUGGUAAAUACACUUUUGUUCUUAGUUUCACAUUUAUGCUUAUUUUAAUAGGUUAUUGAUAACUCUAGGCUUCUGCCUCUUAUAAAAAAAAUAAGGCCUAAAAGUAGUUAAAUUUCAUAUAAUUUGUAAACUAGGAUGAGUAUAAUGUUUUAAAGUAUGAGUUUUAUGUCUUUAAAAUCAUACUUAGUAAAUGUGUCAUUUGAACUUUAUAAAUUAAGCUCUACAAAAAAUAUAUUGAAAGCUCUUCAUGCUUUCAGUGCUACUAAUAGAGGUUUUAUAUUUAUAGAGUUAAAGAUAAAUUAUACUUUUAUUAUGUUACUUAAAAUACUGAAUGUGCUGGUUAAAGAGAAAAUGUGUUUGGGUGUGUGUAUAUCCAUGCAGCCUUAAGAAGCUGAUACAUGAUCUUUUUUUUAAUCUUUGGGAAUUACAGUUAAUUCAAGCCAACUCCGUUGGUGUGCUGGCCAUUUUCCAUUCUAGCAUUCCAGUUGUGUGAAUUGACAGUGUCAAAGUUUGUAUAAUAGGGAUCACUCUGGUGGAGGGUUUGUAUGCAGAUUUGACCAUUUGGCCCUGCUUACUGGCCUUAUUUCCCCGACAAGAUCAAUUUAGUAGUUUAACCUGUUAGCCUCUUUCAUAAAUCUUAAUGAAUCUUUUAGACUUAUGGGCUUUAAUUCUUCAGUAGAUGGUGGUGAGGGAGAGAGGAGGAAAUAAGUUUUUUCUAAAUGCUGGAGUUUGGAAACCAUGAAGAAUCAGCUGCUAGCUGCUGGCUUUUUAACUUCUAGCUGAUUCAUUUGUUGUCAAAAGCAGUUUCCUGUCUGGGGGUGGGGAGAGAAAGAAGGCAAAUAGGAAGUGAAGUAGAGAAACCAGCUGUUUGUUAAGUAUUAGUAAUUGACUAUUACAUUUUGAUUUUUUUAAAAUUGAGUGAAACAUUAAUCUUUUCUGCCUCUUUCUGUAAAAAUAAGGCCUUGUGUUUUUUUCUUUUGAAAUCUUAUUACAAAAGAGUUUUCAAACUCAGUAUAAUUCUACACAAUAAUAUCCUAGAGAAAUGGGCUUCAGGUGAAUUAAAGGUGCAAACAAGCAAGAACAAAUACAAAUUCAUUUAAAUUGAUGAUGUAGUGUGUUAUUUUUAUUCUUUCAUUAAAUAAAAUAUUAAAAAUUUUAAACUACUGUUGACUAAGAUGAUUGGUAAUAAAUUAUAAAAUAAUUCCUUAGUAAAAUUUAAAAAUAAAAACAAGUUAAAAUAGUUAAACAUCUAUAUUCAAAGGGAUUGGAAAUUUUUCGUUAACUAAAGUUUCCUCAAUUGGUGUGUUUGGGGUUUAAAAAAAAAAUACCCAAGUACAUUUUAUUGAGCAGUUCUGCAUAAAUUUUUGCUUCUGACUGAAUGAGCUAAUAUAAAAACAAUUAGAUGGCCAAAAUAAGAAUUAAGGUUGCUUUCCCACUGGGCAAGUUAGCACUACUUGUGUGUUGACAAUAAAGAACUUGCCUGUGGACUGGUUUAAAAUGUGUGUGAUUUCUAAGAGGUUGUUUAGGCUUCACCCAAAUUAUAUCUGUAAUUUAGUAGUAAAAAAUUUAAUAGGCUUACUUCCUAUUUUUUUCUUAUUUGUUUAUAGUAAUUUGAGAGUUCUGUAUUGGAUUUCGAUUAUGACUAUCUCAUUAGAAACCUUCAUUAGAGGCAACAUGUAAACUGAAGAAAGGUAGUUAUAGAUAAUAAGGAGGAAUCCUUUCUUUUUACAGCCUGUUCAGUCUGUAGAACAUUCUAGGGUCUAAUAAAAGAUGAAGAUUAAAUCUCUGGCUGAGCCUCAUGCCAUCAAACUGUUUAGGUAUUUAUAAAAAGAAAGGGGUUCCAACUUUUAUCUCACUUUAAGCAUUGAUGAAUCAAUUGCUUUUAAAGAUUAAUUUCAACAUUUUUUGAAGUUGCUCUUCACCUCUCUAAUUGUGUUUAAAUUUACUUUUCUCAUCCAUCCCAUCUCCAGAAGAAGAGAAUCUAAUAUAAGCUUAAAUUUGUAAUAAUAUCUUAGAAGACAACUAUUAGGAUUUCUUUAAACAUAAUUAUUUUAAUUGUAUACCCAGACACAUUUGAUGGCUUAGUCUAGACUAAAAUUGUACUUUAUUUUUUAAGCCUGAAUGUUUUCAUUGACCCAAUCCACUCUCCCUACAGCCUACUCCCUUUGUUUU
rnacentral:sRNA from 1 species